UACGUAGGGUGCAAGCGUUAAUCGGAAUUACUGGGCGUAAAGCGUGCGCAGGCGGCUUUGUAAGCCAGAUGUGAAAUCCCCGGGCUUAACCUGGGAAUGGCAUUUGGGACUGCAAGGCUGGAGUGUGGCAGAGGAGACUGGAAUUCCUGGUGUAGCAGUGAAAUGCGUAGAUAUCAGGAGGAAUACCGAUGGCGAAGGCAGGUCUCUGGGCUGACACUGACGCUCAUGCACGAAAGCGUGGGGAUCAAACAGG
rnacentral:rRNA from 1 species